CCUACGGGGGGCUGCAGUGGGGAAUAUUGGACAAUGGGGGCAACCCUGAUCCAGCCAUGCCGCGUGUGUGAAGAAGGCCCUCGGGUUGUAAAGCACUUUCAGUGAGGAAGAACGCCUGGUGGUUAAUACCCAUCAGGAAAGACAUCACUCACAGAAGAAGCACCGGCUAACUCCGUGCCAGCAGCCGCGGUAAUACGAAGGGUGCGAGCGUUAAUCGGAAUUACUGGGCGUAAAGCGCGCGUAGGUGGCUUGAUAAGCCGGUUGUGAAAGCCCCGGGCUCAACCUGGGAACGGCAUCCGGAACUGUCAAGCUAGAGUGCAGGAGAGGAAGGUAGAAUUCCCGGUGUAGCGGUGAAAUGCGUAGAGAUCGGGAGGAAUACCAGUGGCGAAGGCGGCCUUCUGGACUGACACUGACGCUGAGGUGCGAAAGCGUGGGUAGCAAACAGGAUUAGAUACCCUAGUAGUC
rnacentral:rRNA from 1 species